AUAUUUACGUAAUUAUUAUUAACUCAAUCGUUUAUAAACAUCUAAAACAUCCAACCAGAACAACAAAAAUAGGAUCACGAGAACACUUCUAGGCAUAAUAAACACUGACAAUACAACGAACAUCGUUAACAACAUAUCGCAAAAAUAACAGACAUAGCUUUCUUAAAGGGCCUCGUUUUCAUUUGCUUCAGUCUUGUCUCUCAUAGAAUAACUAUGAAGAUUUCUAGUAAAACUAGUAGUCGUGUCCAAGAAAUAAAGCACAAACGACAUGAUGAUGCAACACACAAACAUGGGUAUCGGUCCAAAGAUCCACAAAAAGAGCGGAAACGAGAAGUAAAAUGCUCUCAAACCGAUAGACCAAAACAGGCUUCCGCGGUUCAAGUUCCUAGCAACGUAGUUUAUCGGUUCUCUCCUGUCUAUGAAUGUAGGAACCGUGACCAAGAAGCUAACAUGAGCAUAGUAACGAAUUGACUGCACAUUGCAAAGAAAUGCAACAAGAAAACAGAGCAAGAUUGCAAAGUAUUUUACUGACGAUAAGAGUUGGGUAUUAUUUCCGUACAUCAAUUGUGAAGCUGCGGGGUUUGUAUUAGAAGCGCUGCUCACGAAAACGCUGAUUAUUGAACUCAGAGUGAUCGCGGUUGUGGCUAGAAGAGUGGAUGCCAUUAUGUUGUUGCGAAUAGUUUGCACUGCUAAUACGCCAUUCUUUAGCGGAUCCUCCAUCAUAGAGAAGACCCACUGAUGUCGAGUUUCUGAAUUGAGGCCAAUAACAGUUUGUCUUGGGUGUUUGAAAACGGUGUAAACAAGCCAAAUAUGGUAGGCGAUCAUAAUCCCUAAACCCAAAGGCACCAGAACGUAGUCAACAUCUUUCUCCUCCAUCUCUUCUCGAUUCUCCAACCACAAAAAUCAGCAAGAACAUGAAACCCUCUGUCUAGAAUCUCAUGCUUUUGCUUUUCCUCUUUCUUUUCAACUUUUUAUAAAUCAUGAGUUAGAAGUUAGAAAUUCUGAAUUCUG
rnacentral:lncRNA from 1 species